GUAUAAGUCGCAUUUAUUUUUAAACAUUUAAACAAGAACGUUUAGUCUGGAGAGACUGAAUAAAAUUGCAAUAGCAAUAUAGGCUAUAUAUAAACAUAACAAGCCAAAAAGUGAAUGAAGACAUGAAGACAUGAAGGCAUGGAGAAGCAACUGCACCGUUGAUAAGCCCCGGCCAGCAGCACGCUGUUCAAUGACCCAUCUGUGGACUCGUUCCUCCAGCUCUGGCCAUCGGGCUUUCAGCCCCCGGUUAGCUUUCUUUGUUUUUUUCAUCGCAAUUAGAGUUUCCUCGGCUUUUCGCCAGUCCCGGACAAGUUUUUCACUCACCCCAAACUUUCUUUCUGUUGCUCGAUUGCCGUUUUCGGCUGCAUACUUUAUAAUCUGCAGUUUAAAUUGUGCAGUAUAGCUUUUUCUUUUUGGCGGCAUUUUAUUUUGUGUUCUCUUUUGUUUUGUCUACGGUCUAGUUUAUUUAUAAUUUAUUCGGUGGUGCAGUAGGCUUGCAGCGUUCAGUUGUAGGCCUAAUGAAUGACGGUGCCAUCUUGCGGCCGAAGAUUAUGUACGCACAAUUUUGGUAUACAAGUCGCUUCGAAAUAUAAGUCGCAGGGCAAGCCAAACUACAAAAAAACCGCGACUUAUAGUCCGGAAAAUACGGUAUAUGCUUUGCCAUGUUUUUGCUAUUUUUAGAAGUUUCCCUGCGGGCGACCAGGGCGGGCACCGUGUUGGCGACCCCUGAUCUAGAGGAUGUUGUUCAGUAGGUCUGCCACUCUGGUCCCUCUGCUAGGUAGGCUCUGACUCUCUGGUACAAUUAGAUGAAAUGUUUGAAUCACAGCGAUAUCAUUUGACUGGGUGUGAGUCAGUAACCCUUGC
ensembl:lncRNA